ensembl:lncRNA
UCCAACUCUCACAUCCAUACAUGACUACUGAAAAAUCAUAGCUUUGACUAGACGAACCUUUGUCAGCAAAGUAAUGUCUCUUCUUUUUAAUAUGCUGUCUAGGUUGGUCAUAGCUUUUCUUCCAAGAAGCAAGGGUCUUUUAAUUACAUGGCUGCAGUCACCAUCUGCAAUGAUUUCGGAACCCAAGAAAAUAAAGCCUCUCACUGUUUCCAUUGUUUCCCCAUCUGUUUGCCAUGAAGUGAUGGGACCAGAUGCCAUGAUCUUAGUUUUUUGAGUGUUGAGUUUUAAGCCAGCUUUUUCACUCUCCUCUUUCACUUUCAUCAAGAGGCUCUUUAGUUCCUCUUCACUUUCUGUCAUAAGGGUGGUGCCAUCUGCAUAUCUGAGGUUAUUGAUAUUUCUCCCAGCAGUCUUGAUUCCAGCUUGUGCUUCAUUCAGCCCAGCAUUUCACGAUGUAGUCUUUAUAUAAGUUAAAUAAGCAGGGUGACAAUAUACAGCCUUGACAUACUCCUUUCCCAAUUUGGAACCAGUCCAUUGUUCCAUGUCCAGUUCUAGCUGUUGCUUCCUGACCUGCAUACAGAUUUCUCAGGACACAGGUCAGUUGGUCUGGUAUUCCCAUCUUUUUAAGAAUUUCCCACAGUUUGUUGUGAGCCACAAAAAGGUUUUAGAAUAGUCAAUAAAACAGGAGUAGAUGUUUUUCUGGAAUUGCCUUUUUUUAUGAUCCAAUGGCUGUUGGCAAUUUGAUCUCUGGUUCCUCUGCCUUUUCUAAAUCCAGCUUGAGCAUCUGGAAGUUCUAGGUUCAUGUACUGUUGAAGCCUGGCUUGGAAAAUUUUGAGCAUUACUUUGCUAGUGUGUGAGAUGAGUGGAAUUGUGCGGUAGUUUGAACAUUCUUUGGCACUGCCUUUCUUUGGGAUUGGGAUGAAAACUGACCUUUUCCAGUCCUGUGGCCACUGCUGAGUUUUCCAGAUUUGCUGGCAUAUCGAGUGUAGCACUUUCACAGCAUCAUCUUUUAGGAUUUGAAAUAGCUCAGCUGGAAUUCCAUCACCUCCACUAGCUUUGUUCGUAGUGAUGCUUCCUAAGGCCCACUUGGCUUCGCACUCCAGAAUGUCUGGCUCUAGGUGAGGGGAUAUGUGUCUACACAUGGCUGAUUCGCGAUGUUGUUCAGAAGAAACUAACACGACGUUGUAAAACGAUUGUCUCGCAAUAAACAGACGUAAGUGCGGAGUGCGUCCCACCACCCCGUCUCCUGAGGAGCAGCCCUCUCCAGUCACCGAGAGCGGGUCCCACCAUGCAGCGCUAGGCUGGCUGGCGGCCCCGGCCUCUGCAGGGUGGUGGGGUGGCCCUCGCUGAGUCCUUGGACAGCUGUGGGUCCAGGUCCUGAUGUGAAGUGGGGAUGAUGAUCACACGCUUUGGAGGACCUGCUGGGGAGGGGAGCUCUCAGAACAGAGCUGGCUUUAGCGCCACCAGGGAGUGCCGGUGCAAGGACCAUCGGGGAUGUGUGUCCAGUGCCUGCAGGCGUGAGAAUACCCCGUGUGCGUGCGUGCGCGUGUCUGUGGACACUUGUGUUCUUGCCCUGCGGGUGCAGUUGGAGUGCCAGCAUGCGGGCAUUAGGCCGGGGGGACCACAGCCUCUCCGGUCCUCAGCUGUCCCUCUGUCCCCUUCCCUUCCUGGCCCCCGAGGAGGCUGAGAAGCAGAUUCUCCCUUCUGAGGGUCGGUUAAAGCUCAAAACCAGAGGCCUUCCGUGGACCCCCACCUGUUUUUCCAAGCCCACAGUCCCUCCACCUCAUCUUCCGCCGUCCCAUCGCCUGCCAGCUCGUCAUUCAGCGUGGAUUUCCUGAGCCACCCCCAGGCACCAGCACCAUGGCUCAGGCGAUGUGCAGACAACAAAGAAAGAAUCACACACUCACUCCCUGUCAAGUCCUCCCGGGCGCCUGGACUCAGCCGUGGAAUACGGAGACUUGCACGGAGUAAAGCUCACAGUCCGGAGCCUGAAUCCGCCGGCGGCGCAACAGGGGCCAGUUCAGAGCAGGCUGGUCUCGUCUCCUCCGGCCACCGCCCUCCCUCCCGGUCACUUGCAGGCAAUCCCCUGACUCCGCGUCGUCUGCCCCGGAGCCUCAGUACACAGGGCAUGUGGGGCCUCGGUGACCCUGAGGUCCAGUGCGUGCCCAGGAGGAAGGGCAAGCACUCAACUCUGUCCCUUUCUGAUUUAUUUUAUUCCUUUUCAGAAUAAUGAG